GUCCACGCCCUAAACGAUGUCUACUAGUUGUCGGGUCUUAAUUGACUUGGUAACGCAGCUAACGCGUGAAGUAGACCGCCUGGGGGAGUACGGUCGCAAGAUUAAAAACUCAAAGGAAUUGACGGGGACCCGCACAAGCGGUGGAUGAUGUGGAUUAAUUCGAUGCAACGCGAAAAACCUUACCUACCCUUGACAUGGAAGGAAUCCCCGAGAGAUUGGGGAGUGCUCGAAAGAGAACCUUUACACAGGUGCUGCAUGGCUGUCGU
rnacentral:rRNA from 1 species